rnacentral:rRNA from 1 species
AUACGUAGGGGGCAAGCGUUAUCCGGAUUUACUGGGUGUAAAGGGAGUGUAGGUGGUCUGGCAAGUCAGAUGUGAAAGCCCGCGGCUCAACUGCGGGACUGCAUUUGAAACUGUCAGACUGGAGUGCAGGAGAGGAAAGUGGAAUUCCUAGUGUAGCGGUGAAAUGCGUAGAUAUUAGGAAGAACACCAGUGGCGAAGGCGGCUUUCUGGACUGUAACUGACACUGAGGCUCGAAAGCGUGGGGAGCAAACAGGAUUAGAUCCCCGGGUAGUCCACGCCGUAAACGAUGAAUACUAGGUGUCGGGUGGCAAAGCCAUUCGGUGCCGCAGCUAACGCAAUAAGUAUUCCACCUGGGGAGUACGUUCGCAAGAAUGAAACUCAAAUGAAUUGACGGGG